GCGGGUGUGGCGGAACUGGCAGACGCGCUAGAUUUAGGUUCUAGUGUCUUACGACGUGAGGGUUCAAAUCCCUUCACCCGCA
rnacentral:tRNA from 1 species